GCAGAAAAAGAAGAAUCAAGAAAUUAGAGUAACCCAAUGUAGGAAAAUGUUAAUAUUAUGAUAAAAGUCAGCAACAACAUAAUAUUAAUGGAUGACUUUGAGAGAAGUGUCACUUCUCUCUCCCACACACACAAAAACCGUGUGUUAGAUUUUAGUUAUUCUUACUUUAAAUGCAAAUCUAAAAUAUAUUUCUGUAAAUGUACAUUAAUUCAGUUAAUUUCUGGAUGACUGCAAAAAAAAUCUACCCCGGUUUCUGCUGCACCAUUUGCUGCCUAUGUUGUGCUGUAGCCACUUUUUCUUUAAGGGAGCUUUUUCUUCAGUGCAAAAAAGCUGCAGAAAGCUUUUCUUUUCUUUUUUCUACCACUCAGCCUGGCAGGCACUUAGCAAAGGAGAUAUAAUUCCGUGGAGUGGCGUCUCCAGGUGGAAAUAAGAAGCCAAGAGUUUACAGAAUUUUCUUCUUCCCUGAUAGAGAACGCCUGCCUCCCACUGUCUGUGCAGCAGCUGUUAUGAUUAAGCAGCAUUGGCUUCCGACUCCUUUUGGUGCAGUAGAAUAAGCUAUCCUAUUGCUUCCUUGCUGUGCUGCCCCAAGAGGGAUUUGUACAUCAUCUGCCUGACACAGAAGCAUUCCAGGAUUGUUAGCAUAAUGCUGGGACCUAUCGCAAGAGGUUGAUAUUCAGGUGACUUACCAGAUUCGGAAACUGGGAACAACCCAAGUGAACAGCCAUUUUUAACUCUCCUUUUAAAAGCUGGUUUAUCUCCUUUCUGGCUAUGGGAAGCAGCUCAUCUCAUCUAAUCUAUGCAAUGGAAAUGCCUAGGAGAGGAGGUUCCUUACAUACCCCAUGUGUGGAAAGAAAAACCAGCUUUCCUGCUGAUAGGCACAACUAAGUUUAUAGCAACAGACCUGGAAAAUGCCCAAAGAAGCCUGAAUGGGCACUCCAUAACAAUAGAUAUAUGGUUAGCCCCACAAUGAUUAUCUUUUAAUGCAGUAGACUUCAAUAGGAACCUAGAAGGAGAAACUUCCACUUUGGGAAUUGUUGGCCAUAAAACUAGAUGGAAAUGGACUUGGGUAGCCUUCAUCAACCAUGAUGCCUGCUUUUUUUUUCUCAUGCCUUUCGUGUGGACCACUGCAGAUGCUGACAAGACCAAUCAGCAUUUCAACUACAAGCGCACCAUAUAUUGUAUUCCACCUCCAGUGAAUACAGUCAACUUAUCUAUGCAGUGGACUGGGCGUAGCACUUGUGAGGUUUGGAUAAUGGGGAUGAAUGUAAUCCUUAUUUACAUUUACAUUUUUUUCUGAAAGAGUUUCCCGCUCCAUAGAACAGAGGGACCAGACAUAGAACAUGGUAAACGUGACAUAGAACAUGUUAAACUAAAUAGUCGAUGUUACACCACGAUCACCUAUUGAGUUAGAAGGAUACACAACCAAUGGAGUGAAUCCCUUUGUUGAGAGUUCCUGAAUAUAUCACGACCCUGUCUUGCUUGAUGCAUCUUAUUGCUCACUCACAAGAAUGAUUCAUGAAGAUGUAAAUGUCUGGAUGUUUACUCUUUUUUUUCCUGAUAUGGGUGACACUUAUUAUGUGUAUCGCAAGUCUCCCCACAUCACAAGCAAUUGGGUUGAUUUUUAAAGUCUGCUCUGAUACAAGGCAGACAAACUCUGAAGGAUAGUUCAUCUUAGAUGUGUGGGCCUGCAGUUUAUAAAGUGUUACUUCAUACAUGGUAUGGUGUGUGUACUCUGGGGACUUUUAUUUCCAGGAUUACGGGUAUAUGCAUAUACAUAUGCAUAUGCUCAGCUUUUAGGAUGACAUCCCAACUUCCAUUAUUGCAUUAAGGGAAAUACCUCUUCCAUUCUGUGUUGUGUUGGUAUUUGCCUAGUUUAGGGUUGCUGAAUUAGCACUUGUCCUUCUCCAUAUUUCUGCAUCAUUUCAAAUCUAUCACCAUGUUAUAGCCAGUGCCACUAGGAUUCAAUUGCAUUCAAUGCAUUAGGAUUUAAUGCACUAGGAUUUAAAUGCAUUUAAUUGCAUUAAAUGGAAAUACCCCUUUCAUUCUGUGUUGUGUUGGUAUUUGCCUAGUUUAGGGUUGCUGAAUUAGCACUUGUCCUUCUCCAUAUUUCUGCAUCAUUUCAAAUCUAUCCCC